AUUUUUUUUGUUUGCAAUUCAA
rnacentral:tRNA from 1 species